CAUGCAAGUCGAGGGGCAGCAUCAUUAAAGCUUGCUUUGAUGGAUGGCGACCGGCGCACGGGUGAGUAACACGUAUCCAACCUGCCGACAACACUGGGAUAGCCUUUCGAAAGAAAGAUUAAUACCGGAUGGCAUAGUUUUCCCGCAUGGGAUAAUUAUUAAAGAAUUUCGGUUGUCGAUGGGGAUGCGUUCCAUUAGGCAGUUGGCGGGGUAACGGCCCACCAAACCAACGAUGGAUAGGGGUUCUGAGAGGAAGGUCCCCCACAUUGGAACUGAGACACGGUCCAAACUCCUACGGGAGGCAGCAGUGAGGAAUAUUGGUCAAUGGACGAGAGUCUGAACCAGCCAAGUAGCGUGAAGGAUGACUGCCCUAUGGGUUGUAAACUUCUUUUAUACGGGAAUAAAGUGAGCCACGUGUGGCUUUUUGUAUGUACCGUAUGAAUAAGGAUCGGCUAACUCCGUGCCAGCAGCCGCGGUAAUACGGAGGAUCCGAGCGUUAUCCGGAUUUAUUGGGUUUAAAGGGAGCGUAGGCGGGUUGUUAAGUCAGUUGUGAAAGUUUGCGGCUCAACCGUAAAAUUGCAGUUGAUACUGGCGACCUUGAGUGCAACAGAGGUAGGCGGAAUUCGUGGUGUAGCGGUGAAAUGCUUAGAUAUCACGAAGAACUCCGAUUGCGAAGGCAGCUUACUGGAUUGUAACUGACGCUGAUGCUCGAAAGUGUGGGUAUCAAACAGGAUUAGAUACCCUGGUAGUCCACACAGUAAACGAUGAAUACUCGCUGUUGGCGAUAUACGGUCAGCGGCCAAGCGAAAGCAUUAAGUAUUCCACC
rnacentral:rRNA from 1 species